AACGAGCGCUGGCGGCAGGCUUAACACAUGCAAGUCGAACGCAUCGCAAGAUGAGUGGCAGACGGGUGAGUAACGCGUGGGAACAUACCCUUUUCUACGGAAUAGCUCUGGGAAACUGGAAUUAAUACCGUAUACGCCCUACGGGGGAAAGAUUUAUCGGGGAAGGAUUGGCCCGCGUUGGAGUAGCUAGUUGGUGGGGUAAAGGCCUACCAAGGCGGCGAUCCAUAGCUGGUCUGAGAGGAUGAUCAGCCACAUUGGGACUGAGACACGGCCCAAAAUCCUACGGGAGGCAGCAGUGGGGAAUAUUGGACAAUGGGCGCAAGCCUGAUCCAGCCAUGCCGCGUGAGUGAUGAAGGCCUUAGGGUUGUAAAGCUCUUUCACCGAUGAAGAUAAUGACGGUAGUCGGAGAAGAAGCCCCGGCUAACUUCGUGCCAGCCGCCGCGGUAACAC
rnacentral:rRNA from 1 species